GACGAACGCUGGCGGCGUGCUUAACACAUGCAAGUCGAACGGAAAGGCCCUGCUUUUGUGGGGUGCUCGAGUGGCGAACGGGUGAGUAACACGUGAGUAACCUGCCCUUGACUUUGGGAUAACUUCAGGAAACUGGGGCUAAUACCGGAUAGGAGCUCCUGCUGCAUGGGGGGGGUUGGAAAGUUUCGGCGGUUGGGGAUGGACUCGCGGCUUAUCAGCUUGUUGGUGGGGUAGGGGCUUACAAAGGCUUUGACGGGUAGCCGGCCUGAGAGGGUGACCGGCCACAUUGGGACUGAGAUACGGCCCAGACUCCUACGGGAGGCAGCAGUGGGAAAUAUUGCACAAUGGGCGGAAGCCUGAUGCAGAAACCCCGCGUGCGGGAUGACGGCCUUCGGGUUGUAAACCGCUUUCGCCUGUGACGAAGCGUGAGUGACGGUAAUGGGUAAAGAAGCACCGGCUAACUACGUG
rnacentral:rRNA from 1 species